GCUUAGAUAUGAUGAACCUUAAGAAUGCGAUUCGUACCAGUCAUAUAAAAAAAGCUGAAAUGGAUAUUUCGAAAACAACUAUGACGAAACGAUACCCGUUGCAAAAUGGCACUAGACAAAGUCGCUAUAAUAAUAGGGGACCUACAAGUACCGGAUUACGUCCGCAGAUUCCUAGAAAAAGGCCCAUCCUGCGCGAUAGAGAGACUCAACAGCAUGGAAGACCUCAUCCCACCAUUUGAAAGGCUAAUUACGGGCAUGUCUGACCUGGAGAAGGAAAGAUUCAGAUACUUACAAUUAACUUAUAAUUACAUAAAUUUAAGUUAAACUACUUAAUAUUAAAGAGAAUCAAAUAUCUAUGGGAAAAUAUAUAUACUCUGAUUGCUAUUAGUACUAAGAUUGGAAAUUUUGUAUAACUAUGAAAAAUUCAAGAAAACAAAAAAGUUAGAAAAAAAACCUAAAUAGUAUAUAUUUUCAGAACCCCCUACAACAAGAAGAAUACAAAAAUAUGUAACAGUGCUAGUAAAUAUUCAAACCAGAGCUUAAAACAGAGUUAGUGCAAAACAGUUUGCACUGUGAUCCUAAUUAAAUUCUAGCCUGAUUUGUUCUAGAAUAUUCUAUUUACAAAAUUUUGAAUUACCCCAACAAUUUAUAUAUUUUCAGAUACCUUAUGAAAUGCA
rnacentral:lncRNA from 1 species